UCAUCGUUCCUUUUCUCAUUGAAAACCCUAAAUCACUGAAUCAACUCAUCAUGAACUCAAUCGACCCUAUGCGUCAACAUUUAAUCCAUCUUGAAUCGUCAAUACUGAACAUCGACGGUAAGGAAUACUGAUUGUUGGAGAAUCAUGUCUGCCCCUGAUGAGAAUAACACGUCUGAUCAUACAAAGGUUUGUUUGAUAAUCAUGAGUGCUUAAUUAUGUUGUUGAAUCCUGUAUUUUGUGGAAAUUGUGAUUUUACUUUUUUAUCAUCUGGAUGUCGUUUACAGUUGCAAAUACUUGAUUGAACUUUACCUACUGUAUCGUGUGUGUGAGACACAUUGUUACUACCGAUGAUGUGCCUCGCGUCUUUUAGAAGAAAGGUUUUAUUGAUUUAUGAUGCUUUCAUUUUUUAUUGGUCCGGAUUUUGUUUCUACAACUUGCAUCACACUUCUUUGGUGACUUCUAGACUCCGUGAUAAUGGACGUUGCAUAUGAUGUCAUCGAAUUGCAAGAUUAGGGCUUGACCGUAAUCCAGAUGAUGAGGAAGAAGAGUUGAGCUUAUCUGCAGAAGCAAGGGCCAGAAUAGCAGAUCCAAGUAACAGUGAAGCAAAUAGCAAAUACGUGGUUGACAUAUUCAGUCAAACACAUCCCGCUGUAGCUGCUGAAAUAUUUGAUUGCGUGAAUUGCGGCCGAUCUAUUGUUGCUGGAAGAUUUGCUCCUCAUUUAGAGAAAUGCAUGGGGAAGGUGAUUGUUUAGUAUUUCGGUCAUUUUUUCUGUACUAUGUAUUAUAUCUUCUGCUACUUUUUGUUCUAUAAAAAUACGAUAUAAAUCAUCUGACUUUGUUUAAAAACGAUAAACAAGAAAACAAAAUUGCAAUAUAUCAUAGUCGUAGGUUUAAAUUUUAACCCUUUUAGUUUUGUGACUCAUGAUGCGUAUGGAGGCUCUGGCAUUGUUUCCACGAGGGGAGGCUGGAGGCUACCUGGUCAGCAAGGUGGCCUAAACAAUUUGUGAUAGGUCCGUUGUGUAUCCUAGAGGAUAGAUAAGCAAGUGCAAAAAUGGGAAAAUCAUCGAGAGAUAAAAGGGAUAUCUAUUACCGCAAAGCAAAAGAAGGCUGGCGUGCACGAAGUGCCUUCAAGCUCCUUCAAAUUGAUAAGGAGUUCAACAUCUUUCAAGGAGUUAAGCGCGUGGUAGAUCUCUAUACCACACCUGGUAGCUGGAGUCAGGUUUUAGUAUUGCAUGUGUUGCAUUAACUAGCACGGGCGGGAACUCGGUCAAUAUCGAUUCAGUUCGUUUAGGUACCCGUACAGUACUGGCAUUUGUUUUGAAAUUUUCCGCCAUUCAAAUAUACAACGAAUGCGUUAGAGACCUUCUUAGUGCAGACGCUACUCCACUUAGACUCUUUGAUGAUCCAGAGAAAGGAACAGUAGUAGAUAAACUCACAGAGAUCCAUUUGGAGGACUGGACCCAUCUAAUGGAGCUCCUUGCCGCCUACGAAGUUGAAUUUUUUACAGCUCAAAGAAAAAUCGGGGAAACAUCAAUUAAUGAAAUGAGCUCAAGAUCUCACCUGACAAUUGAAAGUUCUCUCAGUGAAGUCUCAGGGGUUGAUAGUGCAACCAUUCUUGCAGCUACUGUGAAUUUUGUCGAUCUAUCAGGAAGUGAACGUGCUUCGCAAACCAAUUCAGUGGGUAAACGACUGAAAGGAGGCGGCCACAUAAACCGCAGUUUACUAACACUAGGCACAGUUAUCCGCAAAUUAAGCAAAGAGCCAAAUGGUCAUAUACCAUACAGAGACUCAAAGCUAACAAGAACACUACAAAACUCUCUUAGAGGAAAUGCGAAAACAGCCAGAGUAUGCACACUCCGCACACGCUCAUCUUAAGCAGUCAAGAAACACACUUUUGUUUGCGGUUUGCGCCAAGGAAGUCAGAACAAGUGCCCAGGUUAAUGUAGUCAUGUCCGAGAAAGUAUUGGUGAAGUAGUUGCAACGAGAAAUCACUCGACUGGAACACGAGUUGAAAAACAUGUCUUGCACAACAAAUGAUUCCGAGGCUAUAAACAAAUGAAAAACAUGUCUGGCACAACCAUUUUUGGCUGAAGCCACCAAAUUAUACAUACUUUAUUCCCCCAUUUUACCCCCAUUUUAUGCGUUUUCGGCCGUAAAACCAUUAAUCGGAUACUUAAUCAGGUAUACUUUUGUUUACAGGCCUAAAACAGCAUGCCAAACAAGAUGAUGGUGAAAACGAGGACUUUCCGAGCGAAACGACAAAGCUGCGAACAUUCUUUGAAGAUUCUGACCUGGGCGUUUGGCACGGCCGUGCAAUGAGUGGCACGACCGUACGGUUUCGAAGACAAAGCCUAUCUCAGCGAUGCAUGACAGUGCAAUCCAGAGUGCAACAAGAUCUCAGAGUUGAACGAUCUUGUGGAUGGUUGCACCCCGUGCGGAUCCGAUGUCCAACCCAACCCCGGAUAUGCACUGCCCGUUCAAGAGCUCGUGCCACCCUAAUCCGGCGAUGCACGCUCGUGCCGCCUGAAGAACGGGCGUGCGACUACGAAGACCGGUCAAGAUCUGAUGAUGUCAUGCAGUAUGGUGAACAGUGAUUCAAAAAGUGAACGGUCGUGCACUUUAUUGGCACGACCGGGCGAUCGCAAAAUGUUAUAAAAAACAGACAGAAACAUUUUGUUCGUAACUCUGGAUAUUUUGGGAGCUUCACAGGUGAUUUUCAGGCUCCGGAGGCAUUAGCUUUCACCCGGAUUCAAGGCACAUCGUGCCAUUUAGCUCCGUUAUCUUCCGGAUUCUUAAACUUGUGCUUGUUUAUAGUUUGAUUUCUUGAAUCUUUCCAUAUUUUUGUUUUGUUUCAAGCAUUUAAGAUUGAUUAUUAUGUAUUAAUGUAAGCCUUUGGGCAAAAACACUAGAAUCCCUUGCUUAAUUACAACCAUUAGUAUGUUAA